GGGUUUCAACAUGUUAGCCAGGAUGGUCUCGAUCUCCUGACCUCGUGAUCUGUCCACCACAGCCUCCCAAAGUGCUGGGAUUACAGGCGUGAGCCACCGUGCCCGGCCAUUUCAUGUCUUUUCAAUCUGUUGCUCCUCUAACUGACCAGAGUUUGAUCUGGAAGAAACUCUGUUGUCGUUCCAGUACCUGGGCUGAUGGGAAGACAGACAAGGCAGGGCAGAUAUCCAUCAGGCACUCCCUCUGACUGCCAGGUAUGCAGUGUGGAGGCAAGGGCCCAGAGCUGCCUGGAAUGUGAAUGACCUGCACCUGCAGGAAGGAUCCAAACGCUCUGGAUGGAAUAGCUUCGUGCUUGCUUGGAUGAGGCAGUGCUCAAGCCUGUUGACUUUGCAUUAAGCCAAGAAGCAGGGCACCUGCCUUCCACCCACCCCUCAUUGACCUCAUGGAGUCCAGGAUCACGCAGCUCUUGUCUCUUGGGUAUUUCAGUGGGGUUGGUGCUACAGAUUGCAGGAAAGUAACAAUUACUCUCAGAUGAGGGAGACAGGAUACUCACAGCUGGGGGACAUUCAGAGGUAUCUCACAGUGCUUCCCAGAAUAGGGAAAGGCCCACAAGAGAGGGGCUGCCUUUGCCACUUUCUACCCCUCUCUGGGGAGUAUCAGCUCAGCAGCCUGUUUCUUCCUGGGUUCAGUCUUCUCUGGGCAGCAGAGUGUUACCCUCACCCCCACUACCCCCAGAACUCUGUGGGUGCAGGUGGAGCCAUGUAUGCUCAGGGCUGACCCAGGAGGCCCAUUCUCCUGUACUGCUCCAGCCCACUGCUUUGGGCCUGAUUGAAGAGCCUGGACGGAAGAACUGGAAUGCUUCUCUGCCAACUCACGCUCUUAACACCAGUGCACAUCUGAAGUCAUAUCUGGGAAGCCUGGUCAGACCCUGUGGAAAGACAUCACCAGCCAGCCAGGCAAUUACAGGUUCAAGUGAUUCUCCUGCCUCAGCCUCCGGAGUAGCUGGGAUUACAGGUGUCCACCACCACGCCCGGCUAAUUUAAUGAAUCCAGAAAUGUCAAGACAUUACCCCAGGAUUCAACAGCACAUGAAGGACAAAGCCAGGGUCCCACCUUUAUUCUUUCAAGGCUGGCCUGUGCCCUGGAGCUCUUCCACACACCUCCCUCUCCAAAACAGGGAGAAGCCCAAGACUUAGUGACUCAGAGCCCCCUUGGCAGUUUUGCUGAUAAUUUUUUUGUUUUGAAGUGAGAUGUUCUGCCUCUAUUAAAGUCUUUAGGAAAUUAUAGUGAUUUUGACUUUUUCAGACAUGUUUGAAUUACUCACAGUCUGGAAUUCCCAGGCAGGGGGUGAUAUUUAGAGAGGCCUUAGAAUACAGAAGUUAGGGGCACAGGAUUUGGGAUUAGAGGGAUCUGAGUUCAGAUCCCCACUUUACCACUUAGUAACUAUGUGAGUUAAUCACUGUGAGCCUUGGUUCCUCAUCUGGUUUUGAUAACAAACACCAGGACUUAGUUCAAGGGUUGCUGGGAGACUAAAUGAAGCAAUGAACAGAGAAUGGUGCAAAGGAGACCUGAGUACAUGGGCACUGGGGUUAUUCCCUGGACACCUGCUGAAGCAGCAAGGCCAGGAUUUGACUUAUCAAGCACACACCCAGCCUGCAUGAAGGCUCGAGUGCAGCCUGCCUGGGCUUAUUCAUCAGGAGGUGGGUUGCAUGGUUUCAGAUCUGGCUCUGUCACUAAUCUGGGGCCAAAGAACGUCCCCUCUCUGAGGCUCUGUUUCCCUCCAGGAAAAAUGUGGACAAUGACAACU
rnacentral:lncRNA from 1 species